rnacentral:tRNA from 1 species
GCCGCCUUAACUCAGUUGGUAGAGUAUCUCACUCGUAAUGAGAAAGUCGCCGGUUCGAGUCCGGCAGGCGGCU